GCUCGAGGCAGAUUAAAAUGAACCAGUGCAAGCACAGCAACUGUUUAUAAACUUUGUUUAUAUUUUUGCAAAUUAAAAUUCUUCCAAUCAAAGUCACAGUAGAACAGUUGAGUCUCUGAUCAACACACAGCAAUGAUUUGCUACUGACUGAAUCUAGUGAGUCAGUGAUUCAGUAACUCACUCAUAAAGCAGUCAGCUUCAUUUCUGAAUGAAUCAGUUGUUUGAAUGAAUUGAGUGAGUCAGUGAUUCAGUGAAUCAUUCAUAACGACAUUCACUUGCUUCAUUUCUGAGCGAAUCAGUCGUUUGAAUGAAUUGAGUGAGUGAGUGAUUCGCUGAGUCAUUCAUAUAACAUUCACUUGCUUUCAUUUCUGAGCGAAUCAGUCGUUUGAAUGAAUUGAGUGAGUGAGUGAUUCGCUGAGUCAUUCAUAACGACAUUCACUUGCUUCAUUUCUGAGCGAAUCAGUCGUUUGAAUGAAUUGAGUGAGUGAGUGAUUCGCUGAGUCAUUCAUAACGACAUUCACUUGCUUCAUUCUGAGUGAAUCAGUCGUUUGAGUGAAUUGAGUGAGUGAGUGAGUGAUUCGCUGAGUCAUUCAUAACGACAUUCACUUGCUUCAUUUCUGAGCGAAUCAGUCGUUUGAAUGAAUUGAGUGAGUGAGUGAUUCGCUGAGUCAUUCAUAACGACAUUCACUUGCUUCAUUUCUGAGCGAAUCAGUCGUUUGAAUUAAUUGUGUGAGUCAGUGAUUCGGUGAGUCAUUAAUAACGACAUUCACUCGCUUCAUUACUGAGCGAAUCAGCCGUUUGAAUGAAUCAUGACUGUUUUAACACACACGUCUCUGUUGCAUCCUGCGCAGCACCUGAUGAUUUGUUUAUCAGGUCUCUACACAGAAGGUUUGUGGGGUUCUUGUUGACUGUAAUUCAUCUCCACAGUCCCAAAUCAAAGGACACACAGUAGAUCGUUCAGACCGCACUCAUGAGCAUCUCAGAUGCACUGGUCCUGCUGCACGUGUGUCAGUGGCGUCUGUCCUUCCCUCCUGUAGGAAGCGGCAGCUGCAGUCCUGCUGGACGGACGCGGGCGGCAGAAGCGGUCAGAGUCCAGACGACCUGAAGGAGAACGGCAAGCAGCUGGGAGACGCUUUGAGUCGAGCACUCUUCAGCUACCCCACGCAGACUCUCCGACGGCCCCGACGGAGGGCGGCGCUGACGCGUCCGAGCGCUCGGAGAUGGUGCAGCAGUAUCUGCGAGGGCUGAUCCACAGAGCCUCCGCUCACUGCGUGAAGGCAGACGCUCUGCAGAAGCUCUGGCCGUCGCUCUUCAGUGAGAUCGUGAGAGACUGUGUGCUGGAGAUGAGAGACAGACAGGCCUUCAGACAGACGCGCCUCCAGCGGCUCCACAGCGAGUCCCAGACAUGAACACAGACACUGAACACUGAAUGUACAGCAGCCUCUCAUCCUCACUCUAGUUAUUUGAGUCGAUCUGCUCAUUCCUGUGGUUCCUCGGAGUCGGACUAUUGAGGGAUAUUUAAUUUAUUUUGUUUUGUUUUACCUUUUUUAUUUUACUUUUUAUUUAAUUUUGUAAGGGCCCAAGCUUACAGUCAGUUAUAACAUUUUAUUUUUAUUAUUCUAUUAUUUUAGGUCGGAAUGAUCUUCAUAGGUCUUACUUUGUUCAGCAGUUUUAUUUUAUUAUUUCAUUUAUUUAUUUUUAUUUUAUUUUAUUAUGGCCCAAUCUGACAGUCCAUUUUAUUUUAUUUAAAUUUUUUAAUUUAAUUUAAUUUAAUUUAAUUUUAUGACAAUUUCAUGUCAAGAGUAUAAGAUGAAGACGGUUUAUGGUGAGAACAAACACUGAGAGUUAAACCUGCACUUGAGCUGCAUGCUUCCGUUGAGUUUUGACUCAUUUCCAAACACACUGCAUUAAAUUAAGUUUGUGUAGAUAAAGUGUUUGCAUCAAGCUGUGUGUGUGUAGAGUGUGUGUAGAGUGUGUUUCAGAUCUUCUGUUCAUUCUGCCUUUAUGUCGCUUCCUCAUAUUGAAUGUCAAAAUCAAACCAUAUGAUCUUUCCUGAGCACUGAAUAAUGUUUUGUAUUUUACUGAUUAUUAAAAAGAUAAUAGUGGAAAAAGUUUUAAUGACCUGAACUGAGUAAGAAAGAAAGACAAAAUAUUGUUGACCUUUGUUUAAAUGGAAACAGAGAGCAACUGUAAUUGGAAAGGAGGGUUCAGCCUUUGUCCCUCAUCUCUCUCUCUCUCUCUCUCUCUAUCUCUCUCUCUCUCUCUCUCUCUGUCUCUCUCUCUCUCACACACACACACACACACACACACGUCUGGUCUCUGAGCGCUUCCUCUCUUCGCGGAUCUCUGACUGACGGAGAAACUUUCACUGGAGUGGAAACAUCGCAUAUGAAGAGGUUUAAAGUCAUUAAUGAUGGAGAUAAUUGCUAAUGAGCGACGCGUGAGCUGCUGGAUUAUUAAUGAACGCGCUGGAUUACGCGCGUCAGGACGCGUCACGAUCCAUCAACGCGUUCACCACUAGAACAGCUGGAGCUCAACGGGUACUGCUCUUUUACUGCGCUUUUACCACACUAUUACUACACUCACGAUUACCACACAAACUCUGACAGCCACCAACACAGAGUAGCAUGGUAUUUCUAUCAUUUAACUGUGGUAGCAAUAUAUACAGGAGCUAUAAUAAAUAUAUUUAUACAUUUAUUUUCAUGAACCUAAAGGGUUAACGUUUUAUAGAAAAGAAUGAAUACGCACACGCAUAUAUAUAUAUAUAUAUAUAUACACAGUACAGACCAAAAGUUUGGAAACAUUACUAUUU
rnacentral:lncRNA from 1 species